AAUUUGACUUUGUUCUCUAUUACAAUGUUCACUAUGCAUUUGCAUCUUUCAAGAACGAAGGUGAUGAUGACGACGAUGUAGUCUAUGAUUACGCUCCGGCUGCAUGAUUCAAUCAUCUACAGUUAUAAAAAUCUUCAUCAUUACGGGAGAGACAGAAGCUUUUCUAGCUACCCAGAUAACCCUAAUUAGUAUAAUUAUAUAGACCAUGUGCGAGUUUGUAGCUAAUCUGGCUUGAGUGUUGUUACUACUUGUAGUUUGUAAUAUCAUAAUAAUAACUAGUGGUAACUAUAUUAUCA